rnacentral:lncRNA from 1 species
UGGUGUGUCCACAUUGGCGGGUCUUGAUUUAACCCGAUCCACUUAAGAUGUGGAUUGUGAUUUAUCCUAAUGGGUUUAGGAUAAGAAUUAAUUAUAUGUUUCUUAUCAGUUAAGAAACAUAUCUACUAGUGGAUAUCUAUUAUAUGUUAAUAGAUUUCCUAAUCCUUAUCCUAAUCUAUAUGAGAUUCAGGAUAUUUAGGGGUUCCGUUAUUCUAUAUAUACGUCCCCUUAUUUCUCCCAUCUGAGACGAUUGAUAUUCAAAUUAAUUCAAUAUUCCAUUAUUCUCUCUCUUCUUCCUCUCUGGGAUUUCCACCUACAUUCCCGGGGUUUUCGAGUGUGGACAUAGAAGAGGACUCUGGUAGCCCUCUUCGAUCAGCAUCCGUCACAUCAGAUCCAUAUCCGAUCCGUGGCGUAAGGCGUACGCGAAGGAGAAGGCGAGAAACGUGGGAGAUCCAAAAGCAUCGAGACGAGGACGAUCCAAGGAGGCUUAUAAAACAAGUAAUCCGAUCCGAUUUGGGUUUCCGGAUACGUUGGCUAUCCGGUUUGUAAGUUUCCGCUGCCUAUUAUUUCCAACAGGUACAUUUGAAAAGAUGGUGUAAAUCUUACAUUGUAAAUUUUCUGUGGCUAGAAUUCAUCAACUAGAUUUAUUGUUUUUUUAAACUCAAAAUCCAAAAUAAUUUUC